GUCUACGGCCAUGCCACCCUGAACAAACUCGAUGUCUGAUCUCGGAAGCAAAGCAUGGUCAGGCCUGGUUAGUACUGGAUGGGAGACCACCUAGGAAGACCAGGUGCUGUAGGCA
rnacentral:rRNA from 1 species